rnacentral:rRNA from 1 species
AUCCUGACACAGGGAGGUAGUGACCAUAAAUAACAAUACGGGGCGCUUUCGCGUCCUGUAAUUGGAAUGAGUACAAUUUAAAUCCCUUAACGAGGAUCAAUUGGAGGGCAAGUCUGGUGCCAGCAGCCGCGGUAAUUCCAGCUCCAAUAGCGUAUAUUAAAGUUGUUGCAGUUAAAAAGCUCGUAAUUGGAUUUCUGGUCGGAGCGACCGGUCGGCGUCCUUUGUGGCGUGUGCACUGUUGUCGGCUCCGUCCAUCCUAGUUGGAAGGCCCGUGGGCAUUCAUUUGUUCGCGCGUGGCCCCGCUACCUUUACUGUGAAAAAAUUAGAGUGUUUAAAGCAGGCUUCGCUCUUAAUACAUUAGCAUGGAAUAAUGAGAUAGGACUUUGGUACUAUUUUGUUGGUUUGCGCACCAAGGUAAUGAUUAAUAGGGAUAGUUGGGGGUAUUCAUUUUCAAUUGUCAGAGGUGAAAUUCUUGGAUUUAUGGAA